UCCGGCGUGGUGUAAUGGUUCAACAUCGCUGUCUUUCAUGUUUCGAAGAGCAUAACGGCACUGAUCACAGCAGCUCGGGGUUCGAUUCCCCGCGCCGGAA